CUGGGGACAAAGGGGAAGGGAAAGCCCUCUGUGCAGGAAGGGCAAGCUGGUGUCUGGGGGAGGUGAGUGCUGGAGAGACCCUCAGCCCUUGACACGAUGUGUCCCCAUCCCUUGGCAGGUCAAGCAGGCUGUCCUCAGGGCGAUGGGUGCCAUGAUGGGUGUCUUCCUGCAUGUGGAGGAGCACCGCGAGCACACCUGGGAGCAGCUCCUUUGGCUAUCAAGUUGGGAGAGGACUGUGGAGGGGCUGAUGCCUUUGGGUGUACAAUGUCCUUAGGCAAGCAGUGCCUUAGAGGGAGAAAGCCAAGGCUCCAGUGGGCUGCAAGGCGUCCAAGAAGUCCAGGACGCCUUCAGGGUGACUAUGUCUCAGCUCUUUUCUGGAGGUCUUGGUGGGCAUUCAGACCCUUAUGCCCCAGGCCAAACUUCUGGCCAUCGGCACUGUUGUGCACUGGCAGAUCAAGCAGCCCAGUCCAGAACACAGAGCAGAACUGUGCUGCUGCAUCAUGCUGCAGGCCCGAAUUUGCCCAGAAGAGACAGUUGUGUUCCUCCAGCCUGAGCUGA
rnacentral:lncRNA from 1 species